CUGACGGUAGUCGUAUGCUCGUCUCCGAGACUAAGCCAUGCAAGUCCAAGUACACGUCCGUGAACGACGGAAACUGCGAACGGCUCAUUAAAUCAGUUGCGAUCUACUCGGCGUUCCGCGCCGCCGGAUAACCGUAGUAAUUCUAGGGCUAAUACGUGCGAAGCGCCCGAAGCCGCGAGGCGACGGGCGUGCUCGCCGGAUACGGAACCGACCCGGGGACCGCCGGGGCAACCCGGCGCCCCCGAGACGGGGCGAACCACGGUGAAACGACGGAUCGUCGGCCCCGCGCCGGCGACUCGCCGAAUGAGUUUCUGACCUAUCAACUCGAGACGGCGGGGUAGAGGCCCGCCGCGGUAACGACGGGUAACGGGGAAUCAGGGUUCGAUUCCGGAGAGGGAGCCCGAGAAACGGCUACCACUUCCAAGGAAGGCAGCAGGCG
rnacentral:rRNA from 1 species